CACCUGUUCCUCCCAUUUGCGAGCUAAUUCCGCAGGGCCCGUGGGCGGCGGCGGGCGCGGCAGAUCCGGAGUGUGGGCGAGGCUGCUCCCUGUGUCGUUACAAAACAGCCCGAGCGGAGGCUUGUUUGCAUGAAGCCCCUGAGAGUCCCCAACCACAUAUCAUCCUCUCGUUUGCGUUCCCGAAGCUCGGGUCUGCAAGAUGCCCCCUCGCUCCCGAACGCUGCAGCAGACAGUGGAGGGACCCCAGCCCCAGGCAGCUUCUGCGGCCCCCGCUGGCUGCAGACUCGGUUUACCCGCCUGAGACACAGGCACCCGUGCGCUGCCUGCCUGGGGCCCUCAGAGGGCGAGCGAGCCAGCAGGGAAGGAGGUCCCGGGUGGGGCGGCCUGGGGGUCAGCUCCACCUGGCGAAGGGGAUUAAGAUGCUGUCCCCUCCCACCCCCCUGCAGCCGGGGGUGAAGAAGCAGAGUGACAACAAGGGCUGGUGCCGGCUCGGAGGCUGGGGUGGCCAUGAUGCGAAGGAUGCCUGUGCCCAGCGGCCCCGCCACCCACCCGGCCCACCUUUGCCGGAGACCCUGCCCUUGGGCCCUGGGAGCUUGGAAGCAGGCGGACGGGGCCACGCAGGGGCCCCUCACGGCAGGGGCUGGCUCUUGGUGGGCGUCCAGGGAGCGCCGCACCUGGCGUGUCAGAGGUCCGAGUGCCCCCCGCCAGGGCUGUGCCUGUGCCCACGGGUGACGGCAGAGCAGUGGGGCAGGCAGGGAGCCGGGAGAGGGCUUGGGCCCAGGACGGCCCCUUCAGGGCUCAGGGGAGAAGGAGGCCAGCAGGCUUGAGCCUCAGGGCAUUUGCUGUUCCCAGGAGGCCAGAUGGGCGUGCAGGGUGGGGGAGGAAUGGAUGGAGACCUCCGGGGACCCCUCGGAGCAGGGGGGCCUUUCCCAUGACCCAGACCUGGGAGGCUGGCCUGGGACUGCAGGGGACGCCUCUCCACGGUUCUCCCUGUGGGCUCGGGAUCCCCAACCACAGCACAUGACCCACACCUAUGACCUCAGACGAGGCAAGAGACGAGGCCAGGUGCAUAUGAGGACGCAUGUCCCUCCACGGCCUGCACUGG
rnacentral:lncRNA from 1 species